rnacentral:tRNA from 1 species
CCCUUGCUGGUCUAGUGGCUAGGAUUACUGGUUUUGAUUCAGGUCACCCAGGUUCAAUUCCUGAGCAGGGAA